rnacentral:tRNA from 1 species
GCUCAGUGGUAGAGCACAUGCCUAGCAAGUAUAAGGCCAUGGGUUCAAUCCCCAA